rnacentral:rRNA from 1 species
CGGACGGGUGAGUAACGCGUGGAUAACCUGCCUUACACUGGGGGAUAACACUUAGAAAUAGGUGCUAAUACCGCAUAAGCGCACAGCUUUGCAUGAAGCAGUGUGAAAAACUCCGGUGGUAUACGAUGGUUCCGCGUCUGAUUAGCUAGUUGGUGAGGUAAAAGCCCACCAAGGCGACGAUCAGUAGCCGGCCUGAGAGGGUGAACGGCCACAUUGGGACUGAGACACGGCCCAGACUCCUACGGGAGGCAGCAG